CACUGCAGUAUGAUACAUGCAUGCCAGAGGGUGGGAAAAAAAUAACAGACAAUUUCAAAGAUGUGCAAAGAUUUCUCAAUGAUAAUUCUAAGAUCUGACUGAUCUGGGGAAUGCUGACAUCCUUUCAAGAAAGAUCAACUAGCAACGAUUCACAGACAAAACCACCUUGGUAAAAAUACCAAAAUGUGGGAGUAAUCCUGAGUCACUUGCAUUAUCUACAGAACUGAAUAAAAAUUUGCAUUGGAAGGCCUUAUUUCCACCAAUUUGAGCUUCAACUGGAGCCGUUUCUAAAGAGGCAGCCAGUCUUGCUCUCACUCUGGGGGAAGCAAGCUACCACGUUGUGAAAAGCCCUGUGGAGAGGCCCACAUGAUGAGGAACUGAAGCUUUCAGCCACCAGCCAGGGAGGAAUAGAGCCCUGCCAGCAACCAUAGGAAUGAACUUGGAAGCAGAUUCAACAGCAAUAGUCUGGCUCUGGUCAACAGCUCUAACAGCCUCAUGAGAGACCUGGUGGCAGAACCAUGCAGAAAUGCUGUUUUUUGAUUCCUCGGAAACUGUGAGAGAAAAUAAAUGUUUGUUUUUUAAAA